UCGAGGAUCUUCGUCAAUGGGCGCAAGCCUGAACGAGCGACGCCGCGUGUGCGAUGAAGGCCUUCGGGUUGUAAAGCACUGUCGAGGGGGAUCAAGGCCGCAAAGCUUGAUUGAUCCCUGGAGGAAGCACGGGCUAAGUUCGUGCCAGCAGCCGCGGUAAGACGAACCGUGCGAACGUUGUUCGGAAUCACUGGGCUUAAAGGGCGCGUAGGCGGCAGGGUAGGUCGGGGGUGAAAUCCCACAGCUUAACUGUGGAAGAGCCUCCGAUACCGUCAUGCUGGAGGAGGGUAGGGGUGCGCGGAACUUCUGGUGGAGCGGUGAAAUGCGUUGAUAUCAGAAGGAACGCCGGCGGCGAAAGCGGCGCACUGGACCCUUUCUGACGCUGAGGCGCGAAAGCCAGGGGAGCAAACGGGAUUAGAUACCCCCGUAGUCC
rnacentral:rRNA from 1 species